rnacentral:rRNA from 1 species
UACGUAGGGUGCGAGCGUUAAUCGGAAUUACUGGGCGUAAAGCGUGCGCAGGCGGUUUGUUAAGACAGAUGUGAAAUCCCCCGGGCUUAACCUGGGAACUGCAUUUGUGACUGGCAAGCUAGAGUAUGGCAGAGGGGGGGUAGAAUUCCACGUGUAGCAGUGAAAAUGCGUAGAGAUGUGGAGGAAUACCGAUGGCGAAAGGCAGCCCCCCUGGGCCCAGUUCUGACACUCAUCCGCGAAAGCGUGGGGAGCAAACAGG